CGGAGUUCUUUUAGGAGAACUUAGUGGCGGACGGGUGAGUAACGCGUGAGAACCUGCCUACAAGAUGGGGACAACAGUUGGAAACGACUGCUAAUACCCAAUAAGCCGCAAGGUAAAAGAUUUAUCGCUUGAAGAGGGGCUCGCGUCCGAUUAGCUAGUUGGUGGGGUAAGAGCCUACCAAGGCAGCGAUCGGUAGCUGGUCUGAGAGGACGAGCAGCCGCACUGGGACUGAGACACGGCCCAGACCCCUACAGGAGGCAGCAGUGGGGAAUUUUCCGCAAUGGGCGAAAGCCUGACGGAGCAAUACCGCGUGAGGGAGGAAGGCUUUUGGGUUGUAAACCUCUUUUCUCAAGGAAGGAAAAAAUGACGGUACUUGAGGAAUAAGCAUCGGCUAACUCCGUGCCAGCAGCCGCGGUAAUACGGAGGAUGCAAGCGUUAUUCGGAAUUAUUGGGCGUAAAGCGUCCGCAGGUGGUAAUUCAAGUCUGCGGUCAAAGACCGAAGCUUAACUUCGGGAAGGCAGUGGAAACUGAUAACUAGAGUACGGUAGGGGUAGAGGGAAUUUCCAGUGUAGCGGUGAAAUGCGUAGAGAUUGGAAAGAACACCAGUGGCGAAGGCGCUCUACUGGACCGUAACUGACACUCAGGGACGAAAGCUAGGGUAGCGAAAGGGAUUAGAUACCCCUGUAGUCCUAGCUGUAAACGAUGGAUACUAGGCGUUGCUUGUAUCGACCCGAGCAGUGCCGUAGCCAACGCGUUAAGUAUCCCGCCUGGGGAGUACGCACGCAAGUGUGAAACUCAAAGGAAUUGACGGGGGCCCGCACAAGCGGUGGAGUAUGUGGUUUAAUUCGAUGCAACGCGAAGAACCUUACCACGGCUUGACAUCCCGCGAAUUUUGGGGAAACCCAGAAGUGCCUUAUGGAGCGCGGAGACAGGUGGUGCAUGGCUGUCGUCAGCUCGUGUCGUGAGAUGU
rnacentral:rRNA from 1 species